GAGAGUUUGAUUCUGGCUCAGGAUGAACGCUAGCUACAGGCUUAACACAUGCAAGUCGCGGGGCAGCAUGGGGGUUGCUUGCAAUCCCCGAUGGCGACCGGCGCACGGGUGAGUAACGCGUAUCCAACCUGCCCUUCACCACGGGAUAACCCGGCGAAAGUCGGACUAAUACCGUAUGUUGUCCAUUGACGGCAUCCGAUUUGGACGAAAGGCUUGGCGGUGAAGGAUGGGGAUGCGUCCGAUUAGCUGGACGGCGGGGUAACGGCCCACCGUGGCAACGAUCGGUAGGGGUUCUGAGAGGAAGGUCCCCCACACUGGAACUGAGACACGGUCCAGACUCCCUACGGGAGGCAGCAGUGAGGAAUAUUGCGCAAUGGGGGCAACCCUGACGCAGCCAUGCCGCGUGAAUGAAGAAGGCCCUAUGGGUUGUAAAGUUCUUUCGGUGACGAGGAAGGUUGUUGUGUGAAUAGCGCAACAAAUUGACGUUAAUCACAGAAGAAGCACCGGCUAACUCCGUGCCAGCAGCCGCGGUAAUACGGAGUGGUGCGAGCGUUAAUCGGAAUAACUGGGCGUAAAGGGCACGCAGGCGGACUUUUAAGUGAGGUGUGAAAUCCCCGGGCUUAACCUGGGAAUUGCAUUUCAGACUGGGGGUCUAGAGUACUUUAGGGAGGGGUAGAAUUCCACGUGUAGCGGUGAAAUGCGUAGAGAUGUGGAGGAAUACCGAAGGCGAAGGCAGCCCCUUGGGAAUGUACUGACGCUCAUGUGCGAAAGCGUGGGGAGCAAACAGGAUUAGAUACCCUGUGUAGUCCACGCCUGUAAACGCUGUCGAUUUGGGGAUUGGGCUUUGAGCUUGGUGCCCGUAGCUAACGUGAUAAAUCCGACCCGCCUGGGGAGUACGGCCGNCAAGGUUAAAACUCAAAUGAAUUGACGGGGGCCCGCACAAGCGGUGGAGCAUGUGGUUUAAUUCGAUGCAACGCGAAGAACCUUACCUACUCUUGACAUCCAUGGAAUCCUGUAGAGAUANCGGGAGUGCCUUCGGGAACCAUGAGACAGGUGCUGCAUGGCUGUCGUCAGCUCGUGUUGUGAAAUGUUGGGUUAAGUCCCGCAACGAGCGCAAACCCUUAUCACUUUGUUGCCAGCGAUUUGGUCGGGAACUCAAAGGAGACUGCCGGUGAUAAACCACGGAGGAAAGGAUCGGGGAGGACGUCAAGUCAUCAUGGCCCUUACGAGUAGGGCUACACACGUGCUACAAUGGCGUAUANCAGAGGGCGACGAAGCCGCGAGGUGGAGUGAAUCUCAGAAAGUACGUCUAAGUCCGGAUUGGAGUCUGCAACUCGACUCCAUGAAGUCGGAAUCGCUAGUAAUCGCGAAUCAGAAUGUCGCGGUGAAUACGUUCCCGGGCCUUGUACACACCGCCCGUCACACCAUGGGAGUGGGUUGUACCAGAAGUAGAUAGCCUAACCGNCAAGGGGGGCGUUUACCACGGUAUGAUUCAUGACUGGGGUGAAGUCGUAACAAGGUAACCGUAGGGGAACCUGCGGCUGGGCACCUCCUU
rnacentral:rRNA from 1 species